CAGUCGCCGCGGUAAUACGAAGGGGGCUAGCGUUGUUCGGAUUUACUGGGCGUAAAGCGCACGUAGGCGGAUCGAUCAGUCAGGGGUGAAAUCCCAGAGCUCAACUCUGGAACUGCCUUUGAUACUGUCGAUCUGGAGUAUGGAAGAGGUGAGUGGAAUUCCGAGUGUAGAGGUGAAAUUCGUAGAUAUUCGCAGGAACACCAGUGGCGAAGGCGGCUCACUGGCUCGAUACUGACGCUGAGGUGCGAAAGCGUGGGGAGCAAACAGGAUUAGAUACCCCGGUAGUCCCUGUCUCUUAUAC
rnacentral:rRNA from 1 species